GGAUUUUUCUGGACCUGCUUGCAGGCAGGGGGCCCAGAGGCAGUGAAGCAUGGAUCUGGGCCUAGCAGCAGCCAGUCUGCAGAAAGCCAGCCUGGAGUAAGUGCGGGGCCCAGACUUGACACAACAUCCCAGCUGAGGCCUCGCUCGUGCUGAGCAGAGCGGGACAGUGACCUCUGUCUCUUACACGCAGCUUAAAUGGAACAUGCUUCUUGACUGGAGGCGCCAAGGCAAACCCGUAGUCCUCUUCUCCCGGACGCCACAGAUGCUCUUGGAAAGUCCUGUGGAUCAUGUGAUCAGGUGUACAUAGAGAUGCCCAGAGAUUUUAGUGUUGCUCGGGAGCCCUUGAGAGAAUGGAGGGACCCAUCUGUGGCAUCACUAAAGAAACUGAGGCCUUCAAAAGGAAGGUCCUUUACAGUAUUUUGUACCUCCUGGAGAUGGCUGGAAGACUGUAGCUAAGAAGCUGGGCAUAUGACUACUGCUGUAGUCAGGGAACGUACAGCUGUGUCGGUAGCAUCUAGCGAGGCUCGGUGAGAUGCCUUAGCAACUGUCUGACCUUCUGCAAAGAGGACCUGAAAUUGUUCUCUGUGCUCCUGAGGCAAGUGUUCAUUAAAUGCUGAAAUUUUUGAAUAGAGAGUCAAGUCAUAUUUAGCCACCAGGACUUGAUAAUUGGCCACUCUAAACUGCCAGAAGACUGAGGAGUGCUUCUUAGGGUCCAGAAGGUCCAGUCCUUUUUAGAUCCUUAUCAGUCGUUGUGGAACAGAACUGAUGUUUGCCUGGUCUGUUUGUUAGCAGCCUCCACUACCAGAGAAUUGGGAAUCAGGAGGGAGAAAAAAAAUACUCAGUUCUGCGGGGAGGAGGAUGUAAUACUUUUUGUCAGCUUGUUUACACAUAGGUGGGACAGUGGCUUCAGUUUGCCACACCAUCCAUGCUGAAGUAAUGAUGAUCCUGAUGUGACCUCUUUUGGGAUGGGACCCUUUAGAAAGGGUCGCCUAAGGAUUCUGGUAAGCCCACUGUGGUGGGACUCCAAGGUUGUCCUUGCCAUGGUAACUGGGUGUACUUCCUGCUAUGAGCUCCUUCUUCAGUGUGAAUCUCUAAGAAGGGAGGUUGGAAGGUAGAGAAACCAUAUACAGACAUUUUUGAGUCAGAUGCGGUGUCAUCCUCUGUAUCCAUUGGGGGAUGGUCAGGGGUGUAGGUACUGGUGGUCAGGGCUGUACUAGACCCUGGGAAGAGACCUGAACUUGUGUCAGUACUGUGAUUAGAAAGGGAGGCUGGUGAGGUGGUGCCGGAGAAUGUUAUAACGGUACCAGCUGAAAGUAUUUCUCAGAGCCCUCAAAGAUUGCCCAAGGAG